GAUGGACCUAUGGCGCAUUAGCUAGUUGGCGGGGCAACGGCCCACCAAGGCAACGAUGCGUAGCCGGCCUGAGAGGGCGGACGGCCACAUUGGGACUGAGACACGGCCCAGACUCCUACGGGAGGCAGCAGUAGGGAAUUUUCGGCAAUGGGGGAAACCCUGACCGAGCAACGCCGCGUGAGCGAAGAAGGCCUUCGGGUCGUAAAGCUCUGUUGUAAAGGAAGAACGUCGCAUGCAGGAAAUGGUGUGCGAGUGACGGUACUUUACCAGAAAGCCACGGCUAACUACGUGCCAGCAGCCGCGGUAAUACGUAGGUGGCGAGCGUUAUCCGGAAUCAUUGGGCGUAAAGAGGGAGCAGGCGGCCGCAAGGGUCUGUGGUGAAAGACCGAAGCUAAACUUCGGUAAGCCAUGGAAACCGGGCGGCUAGAGUGCGGAAGAGGAUCGUGGAAUUCCAUGUGUAGCGGUGAAAUGCGUAGAUAUAUGGAGGAACACCAGUGGCGAAGGCGACGGUCUGGGCCGCAACUGACGCUCAUUCCCGAAAGCGUGGGGAGCAAAUAGGAUUAGAUACCCUAGUAGUCCACGCCGUAAACGAUGGUCACUAAGUGUCGGGGGUCAAACCCCGGUGCUGCAGUCAACGCAAUAAGUGACCCGCCUGAGUAGUACGUUCGCAAGAAUGAAACUCAAAGGAAUUGACG
rnacentral:rRNA from 1 species